CCAUAUCACAACAAUCCACGUGUCUCUCACAUUUUCAAAAACAUAUGUGCUUAGAAAUAAAAGAAAAUAUCUUGACCCAAUUUCACCAAUAAUUAGAAGAUCUAGACUUUCUUACAUGAUGCCCCUGGCAGCUCCACACCUCAGCGCUGACCUAUGUCACAACCAUUCGCGUGUGCCCUCUCAUCUUCACAAAAUAUAAAUAUUUCAAAAAUUAAAAAAAUAUUUACCUAGUAUGACCAUUGGAUGACUGUACAUGCUCGAAUGAUGUGCUGAGUAGCUCCAAUGCCUCCUUAUAUUGGCCCAUGUCACACCCAUCCACACGUACCCUUCUCAUCUUUUGAAUAUAUAUAUAUAUAUAUAUAAAGAAUAAAACAAAACAAUAACCGUGGGAUCAAUAGCACUCACGAUCAAAUCUCCUUAUUUUGACAAAUAUUGAAUUAGAGCACCUUUUCUAUCAUCCUUCAAUCUUAAUUAGUUUUGCAUUCAUUAAUCAUCUUAUUUGCCAUCAGUUAUACAAAUAUUACUAUAGAAAUCAAAUAUAAAAAUACAAUAGAAAUAUACUAAUAAAAUAUUAGUAUAAUAUAAUGACCUGCACGAGAUAUUUGUAGGAUACAUUAUUAAUGCAAAAAAUUAUUAAUAUCAAUAUAC
rnacentral:lncRNA from 1 species